CCUACGGGAGGCUGCAGUGGGGAAUAUUGGACAAUGGGCGAAAGCCUGAUCCAGCCAUGCCGCGUGUGUGAAGAAGGCCUUCGGGUUGUAAAGCACUUUCAGUGGGGAAGAAAGCCUUGGGGCUAAUACCCUCGAGGAAGGACAUCACCCACAGAAGAAGCACCGGCUAACUCCGUGCCAGCAGCCGCGGUAAUACGGAGGGUGCGAGCGUUAAUCGGAAUUACUGGGCGUAAAGCGCGCGUAGGCGGUCUGAUAAGCCGGUUGUGAAAGCCCCGGGCUCAACCUGGGAACGGCAUCCGGAACUGUCAGGCUAGAGUGCAGGAGAGGAAGGUAGAAUUCCCGGUGUAGCGGUGAAAUGCGUAGAGAUCGGGAGGAAUACCAGUGGCGAAGGCGGCCUUCUGGACUGACACUUACGCUGAGGUGCGAAAGCGUGGGUAGCAAACAGGAUUAGAUACCCGAGUAGUC
rnacentral:rRNA from 1 species